rnacentral:rRNA from 1 species
CGACCUCCACCCUUGUGUUAACUAUACCACGUUGCUUCGGCGGGCCCGUCUUCUGUCACAGGAGGACCGCCGGAGGGGUCUCGAACCCCCUCUGGCCCGUUGCCCGUCGAUAGCCCAACAUAAACUCUUGAAUCAACCAUGUCGUCUGAGUUCAAAUUUUAUAAUUAAAAUAAAACUUUCAACAACGGAUCUCUUGGUUCUGGCAUCGAUGAAGAACGCAGCGAAAUGCGAUAAGUAAUGCGAAUUGCAGAAUUUCAGUGAGUCAUCGAAUCUUUGAACGCACAUUGCGCCCUUUGGUAUUCCGAAGGGCAUGCCUGUUCGAGCGUCAUUAUCACCUCUCAAGCCUGGCUUGUUGUUGGACUUUCGGUCUGGGCUCGCCCCCGACCGGUCCCAAAACUAAUGACGGCGUCCGUGGGACUCUCGGUGCAACGAGCUUUCUUUAAGCACGCACGGAGUCGAAAGGUCCCCGGCACGGUCUUUAACCAUUUUUCUUAAGGUUGACCUCGGAUCAGGUAGGAAUACCCGCUGAACUUAAGCAUAUCAAUAAGCGGAGGAA